UUUGAGUAGAGAAUCUGUGAACGUUCGUCAUUUCCGGAGGGAGAUGAGCGUUUGGAAGAAGCAUUGAAUGAAGAGAGCCUGGUUGAUGUUGAAGUGAAGAUCGAGCAGUGAGAUCGCUCGGCCAGUAUUGUAUUUAGUUGAAUUGAGUGGUCGUUCGACCAUCUCUUGUUUUCUUUUGAGUUAAUUCGACCGUUCAGUAAUUAUCCUGUGUAAACCGUUCGGUCAGGUUUCUUGUACGUUUAUCUUAAAUUUGUAAAACUCUUAUGUGUGGCGUGCGACUUUUGCACAUUCGUCCGUUAUGUUGGAUUUGUACUCAAGGACGUUCGUCCUUGAGCGUUCGUUCGGGUUUUAUUUUGUUUUUAGUUGGAAAACUGUAUUGAAAUAUUAUUAAAUGUGAUUUUCUGAUUUUAUGGUGUUA